rnacentral:rRNA from 1 species
UACGGGGGGGGCAAGCGUUGUUCGGAAUUACUGGGCGUAAAGGGCGCGUAGGCGGCCUGGCAAGUGGAAGGUGAAAUCCCUCGGCUUAACCGAGGAACUGCCUCCCAAACUGCUUGGCUUGAGACCGGGAGAGGUGAGUGGAAUUCCCAGUGUAGCGGUGAAAUGCGUAGAUAUUGGGAGGAACACCAGUGGCGAAGGCGGCUCACUGGACCGGUACUGACGCUGAUGCGCGAAAGCGUGGGGAGCAAACGGG